CGGAGCCGACGAGUGGCGGCGGCGGCCCCAGGUCCCGGGUCCCUCAGACAAGAGGGCGGGUGGAGGAGGAAGCGGCCGAGCCCAGAGUUCUGCUCCGGCGCCCCCGAGCACCGCCCGCUUCAGCCGACCAGCCCCGUCGGCUACUGGGCCUCGCCGAGACGAGAGGAGGGAAAGGCCUCGGCGGCCGCGAGGAGGCGGCGGGGGCGCGGGCGGAG
rnacentral:lncRNA from 1 species